UUCUGUUUUCAGAGGAUGUGAACAAGGCCUCUCCUACCCAAAGUCAUUUACAAGAGUUAAUGACAGCAAGAGCAACCACACAAAAUAGGGUCAGUGAUGG